rnacentral:rRNA from 1 species
GACGAACGCUGGCGGCGUGCUUAACACAUGCAAGUCGAACGAGACGAUUUAGAAGCUUGCUUUUAUUGAGUCGAGUGGCAAACGGGUGAGUAACGCGUAGACAACCUGCCGCAAAGAUGGGGACAACAGUCCGAAAGGACUGCUAAUACCGAAUGAUGUCGUAAGACCAAAGAUUUAUCGCCCAGGGAUGAGCCCGCGUAAGAUUAGGUAGUUGGUGAGGUAAAGGCUCACCAAGCCGACGAUCUUUAGCUGGUCUGAGAGGAUGAUCAGCCACACUGGGACUGAGACACGGCCCAG